rnacentral:lncRNA from 10 species
GUCUGAAACAUCAGCGAUCCCAUCAAAAUAUUCUGUUUCUUGGGAUAUAAGAAACAUCCCAAGGCGGGCUGUAGAGCGAGAGAUUUGGACUCGAUUUAAAUACAGACAAAAUAGUAUGCAUUUACUAACACCACAUCUCACCCCCACGAAACUUGGUAAGGGCAGCAACAGAACUUUAUCUGCCAUAUGCACUCCUGUAUUCCUAUUACCAAAUAGUGCCAGGGACUAAGUGAAUAUUUGCCCAAUGAAUGAGUUUUAAGUAGGAAACGUUUGCAUAGAAUCAUUUUGUUUCUUUUGGAGUUCAAAUCUUCGGAUAUUUUACCCUUCCCAAUCCAAAGAAAAGUCUCUGAGUGAAGAGAUGGGAACAAAAUGAAGAAGAAGACAGAGCUCUUACCAGGGGGAGGCAGAGAUGGCA